rnacentral:rRNA from 1 species
AGUGAACGCUGGCGAUAGGCCUAACACAUGCAAGUCGAACGGCAGCACAGGAGAGCUUGCUCUCUGGGUGGCGAGUGGCGGACGGGUGAGGAAUACAUCGGAAUCUACUCUGUCGUGGGGGAUAACGUAGGGAAACUUACGCUAAUACCGCAUACGACCUACGGGUGAAAGCAGGGGACCCUCGGGCCUUGCACGAAUGAAUGAGUCGAUGUCGGAUUAGCUAGUUGGCGGGGUAAAGGCCCACCAAGGCGACGAUCCGUAGCUGGUCUGAGAGGAUGAUCAGCCACACUGGAACUGAGACACGGUCCAGACUCCUACGGGAGGCAGCAGUGGGGAAUAUUGGACAAUGGGCGCAAGCCUGAUCCAGCCAUACCGCGUGGGUGAAGAAGGCCUUCGGGUUGUAAAGCCCUUUUGUUGGGAAAGAAAUCCAGCUGGCUAAUACCCGGUUGGGAUGACGGUACCCAAAGAAUAAGCACCGGCUAACUUCGUGCCAGCCGCCGCCGUAA